rnacentral:rRNA from 1 species
GCUGGCGGCAGGCCUAACACAUGCAAGUCGAGCGGUAGAGAGAAGCUUGCUUCUCUUGAGAGCGGCGGACGGGUGAGUAAAGCCUAGGAAUCUGCCUGGUAGUGGGGGAUAACGUUCGGAAACGGACGCUAAUACCGCAUACGUCCUACGGGAGAAAGCAGGGGACCUUCGGGCCUUGCGCUAUCAGAUGAGCCUAGGUCGGAUUAGCUAGUUGGUGAGGUAAUGGCUCACCAAGGCGACGAUCCGUAACUGGUCUGAGAGGAUGAUCAGUCACACUGGAACUGAGACACGGUCCAGACUCCUACGGGAGGCAGCAGUGGGGAAUAUUGGACAAUGGGCGAAAGCCUGAUCCAGCCAUGCCGCGUGUGUGAAGAAGGUCUUCGGAUUGUAAAGCACUUUAAGUUGGGAGGAAGGGCAUUAACCUAAUACGUUAGUGUUUUGACGUUACCGACAGAAUAAGCACCGGCUAACUCUGUGCCAGCAGCCGCGGUAAUACAGAGGGUGCAAGCGUUAAUCGGAAUUACUGGGCGUAAAGCGCGCGUAGGUGGUUUGUUAAGUUGGAUGUGAAAUCCCCGGGCUCAACCUGGGAACUGCAUUCAAAACUGACUGACUAGAGUAUGGUAGAGGGUGGUGGAAUUUCCUGUGUAGCGGUGAAAUGCGUAGAUAUAGGAAGGAACACCAGUGGCGAAGCGACCACCUGGACUAAUACUGACACUGAGGUGCGAAAGCGUGGGGAGCAAACAGGAUUAGAUACCUGGUAGUCCACGCCGUAACGAUGUCAACUAGCC